GGAACGUAUUCACCGCGGCAUUCUGAUCCGCGAUUACUAGCGAUUCCAACUUCACGCAGGCGGGUUGCAGCCUGCGAUCCGAACUGGGAUGGCUUUUAGGGAUUUGCUCCACCUCGCGGCUUUGCUUCCCUCUGUUGACCACCAUUGUAGUACGUGUGUGGCCCAGGACAUAAGGGGCAUGAUGAUUUGACGUCGUCCCCACCUUCCUCCGUUUUGUCAACGGCAGUCUCGCUAGAGUGCUCUUGCGUAGCAACUAACAAUAAGGGUUGCGCUCGUUGCGGGACUUAACCCAACAUCUCACGACACGAGCUGACGACAACCAUGCACCACCUGUCUCCAGUGUCCCCGAAGGGAAAACCCUAUCUCUAGAGCGGUCACCGGGAUGUCAAGCCCUGGUAAGGUUCUUCGCGUCGCUUCGAAUUAAACCACAUACUCCACCGCUUGUGCGGGCCCCCGUCAAUUCCUUUGAGUUUCAACCUUGCGAUCGUACUCCCCAGGUGGGAUACUUAUUGUGUUAACUGCGGCACGGAGGGGGUCAGU
rnacentral:rRNA from 1 species